rnacentral:rRNA from 1 species
UUCCUGCUCAGUGAAUAUAAACAGCCGCAGAAUUUUACUGUGCUAAGGUAGCAUAAUCACUUGUCUUUUAAUUAAAGAAUAGAAUGAACGGAAAAACGAAUUUUAUCCUGUCUCAUCUUCUUUUAAUAAAUUUACCAAAAAGUAAAAACUCUUUUUUUUAAAAAAAAGACGAUAAGACCCUAAAGAACUUGACUAAAGUUAAGCUGGGGCGGCUUUUUAAAAAAAUCUUAUUCUUAACUCAUUUUACCUUUCUAAAUUCUAAAUGUUACCUUAGGGAUAACAGCACAAUCUAAUUUUACAGCUCUCAUCCAAAAUUAAGAUUGUGACCUCGAUGUUGAAUUAAAAAUCUUCUAAACGAAAAAAAUUAGCAAGAAAGUCUGUUCGACUUUUAAAUAAUUACAUGAUUUGAGUUCAGACCGGUGAAAACCAGGUCGGUUUCUAUCUUUUUUAAAUUUUUAUUAGUACGAAAGGACCAUAAAAUCUAUUUCUAAU